UACGUAGGGUGCGAGCGUUGUCCGGAAUUAUUGGGCGUAAAGAGCUUGUAGGCGGUUUGUCGCGUCUGCUGUGAAAAUCCGGGGCUCAACCCCGGACUUGCAGUGGGUACGGGCAGACUAGAGUGUGGUAGGGGAGACUGGAAUUCCUGGUGUAGCGGUGGAAUGCGCAGAUAUCAGGAGGAACACCGGUGGCGAAGGCGGGUCGCUGGGCCAUUCCUGACGCUGAGACGCGAAAGCUAGGGGAGCGAACAGG
rnacentral:rRNA from 1 species